rnacentral:rRNA from 1 species
UACGUAGGGGGCUAGCGUUGUCCGGAAUCAUUGGGCGUAAAGCGCGUGUAGGCGGUCCGGUAAGUCCGCUGUGAAAGUCGGGGGCUCAACCCUCGAAUGCCGGUGGAUACUGUCGGGCUAGAGUGCGGGAGAGGCGAGUGGAAUUCCUGGUGUAGCGGUGAAAUGCGCAGAUAUCAGGAGGAACACCAAUUGCGAAGGCAGCUCGCUGGAACGUAACUGACGCUGGAGACGCGAAAGCGUGGGGAGCAAACAGG